rnacentral:lncRNA from 1 species
AUAUGAUAAAACAACAAGCAAAAUUAGAUAUACAGCAGGUUGAGGAAAUAAAAAAUGAUAAAAUAAUUGCCUUAGAAAAAGAAUUAAAUAUGCUUAAAGAGUUAUACGCGAUUAAACAAAAAGAGAAAGAAAUGGAAGCAGAAUUAAAAAUAGAAAUAGAAAAAUUUAAGGAAAAAUUAACUAUAGAAAAAGAAACCCC